GCAGUAAACCCAAUAAGAAUUUCCCUAAUUUCUAAAGAGUCCUUUUAAAAAAUUAUUCUGCAAAAGUAGCCUAAUAAAAGGGCAGUUAAUGGAAUCGCCAAGGUAACAUAUCAUCAAGAAGAACUGGAAUCGCAUCCAGAAUCAUUCCUAUUUAAUUUCCCAUCCCUAUAUUUGACAGUCUAACUUGCAUUCCUGUCAUUUGCAACAAAACCUACGAAGCCAGAGAUGCACUGAGCGGAGUGGGAGAUCGUGAAGAGAGCAGCGUGAAGGAGUGAGAGCUGUAUCAGUGCAGGUCCUGAAGCACAAGAGAGAAGAGAGAGAGAGAGAGCUAUUGGGCUCUUAUCACAUGCGUUUAAAACCGUUAUUUAAAGCAACUCAUUUCUGGAACGAGCAAGAAGGAAAGUGAAGGAAAGAGAGCAAAAGAAGACCGCCAGCCGAUGUUUGACUAAAUUUGACAUGAGAGAGGAUAUCUGUUUCAUUUAUUUCUCACUGGGAUGCGGAUUUUUUCCCUUCUUUUCUUGACAGCGUGCGUCUGCCCCGCAUCGCUCGUAUCAUACGGAUAUAUACGGAGAACAAAUUAAGAUGAAGUGACCUUCGAAAGUAGUUUUUGACGGCGUACCGCUCGCUAGGGCUUUAUUUCUUCUUUAAUCGUGUUCAACAGCGUUGCACUGGGCACGAGGGAACGGCGGGAAUUGAUAGGGCACGCGCGCAGUGCUUAUAAAACAACAGCUGACCAUUAAAGCUCACAUCAAGCCAAAUAAAACACUACCAGAAGAAAUAAUAGCUACCACUGAUAUUGUUAUACAGAAACCGCGGGGGCAUAAAAACGACGAGCUUUAAAACAGGUCUUUUCCCCAGCAUUUCAUACGGUGGGUUUGGGUGGCGAGUGGAUGGGACUCUGAUGUGGAUUGCUGCUCCGGAGCUGAGUGCCCAAUACUAGACCAGCAACUUCCUGCGCCUCAGGAUGGAUUAGAGCUUCACGCCUCCGGAGAUCAAAGGUAUGAGAUGUAUAGUAAUGAGCUUCCACUCCGCUCUUUCCAAUAAGAGCACCACAUGCCCACCGUAGUGCGUAGUGUUUGUCUUGAACGCACCGUGGAU
ensembl:lncRNA